UCCCUGGUAGUCCAAUAGGUAAGACUCUGCAUUCCCAAUGCAGAGAGCUUGGGAUCAAUGCCUGGUUAGGGAA
rfam:TPA: Bos taurus chromosome 3, whole genome shotgun sequence.